GAUUAAUUAGAAAAUUAGUGUCGUCUGCUUUAGUUUGGUUUCACAGUUUCGACUUUCGAAAAAGAUUUCAUAGAAAACUGAACGAUCGAUCACUUUUUGGAAACGUACGUGACUGCACGAAAUAAUAUCAUAACAUAACAAAUAAAAUUACGAAAAUAUGGUCAUCUCAGUUCAUUUCUGGUGUCGCAGCUCAUCAUGCUUUCCACUUCAUGCCGUUUGGUUGAUUUGAGGACAAAGCCAGCCAUCUGAUUAUCAACAAGAUAUUAAAGUUUUUCUUGUCCUGGAUCUGUCAUCAGCAUCAAUCUCAGUGUCAUCGCUUGAAUAAACAAAAUCCAUUUUGGUUGGAGAUCCUACCGAUGUCGGUCGAGUUCCUGAUCUCUUCUUCCCUUCUUUCUUGAAAUGUCCUCGUGUACAUCCAUGUGAGUGUGGGUGUAUUCACGAGGAUCUCCUCUUUCCUAUCCCACCUGGUGUAACAGUCAAAUCUUCUGCGGAUGGAGUACUUGUGGAUGGAUGCCUGGCCGUAUUUCCCAGGCAGAAAGGUGACAUGGAAAUAGGAGGGCGACUGCUCGGCCAUGGCGGCAGAGAGAGGACCACGCCAUCCAAGGGCAAAGCAAACUCGAGACCAUACACAUCACAGGCAGCAUCCUCCAGCGCAACCAUACUAAUAUUGCCCAAUGAUGGAUCAUGGCUCGGAUGACGGGAGACGUUUCCUCUCAUUUCCUUCCUACCCCUUUUUUUUCUUUUUAAUAUUCCGUAUCAUUUCUUAUAGCAGUUCUUGUUAUUAUUAUUUUCUUUUUGUUUUUUUUUAUUGCCUAUUUUUCUGUGUUUGUUCGUGUGGGGGUUAUUUUUUGCCUGCGCCAUUUAUACACUGGAAGAGGGCAAAGACAAAUUUUUUUUUUCUUGCGCACAAGAAGUCUAUACGCUGCCUUUGAUGUAAAUGUUACAUGGCAAGUAAUGUCUAGUAGACUAGAGCCUAUCCUAUAUAUACUAGAUAUGCUGAAGGGUCUUGAUACACUCUUGAAGCAACUCCAAGUCUGCUGCUGGCUCAAAACUCUGGCGCCCUUCAAGUUUUCACAUUGGAAUAUAAGAUGAAAUAGAUCUUU